AAGAAAACUCCUUACAAGAUGGAGAGGUUCCUAACAACAGAUGAUUCCUUCAAAUUGUUGAUUGGAUUUGGCCGUGGGUUUAGCCAAACAAUGGGAAACUAUCUUAUAUGAUUAAAAUCGGUUUCCGUGGAGUGCAAGGACAAACAAGAUCUAAGCCUUAAAACCCUUUUAAAGAUACAAAUUCAUUCCUUUUGUUUGACAUCCACACCAUCCUUCAAAUCUACAUCAUAAGCUUGCUAGCUAACUGAUUUCAAGGAGAAAAUCCCAUCG
rnacentral:misc_RNA from 1 species